UUGUCGGGAGCGCGCUUUACGGUCACCAUCCGGCCAUUCUUUCUGUUCUGUCAGAGCAAGCCCGGAGUAGACGUGUUUCUCAUACAGAGCGGAGCAGACAUCUACUACCAGUCCGAAGAGCCGUGCCUGUAGUCGCGUUGCGUCUUUGCUUUGACCAGAACCAACCAACUCUGAAUUUGCAUUAAAUAUGUCUAAUAUCGUUUGCUGUCAAACGCCUCAGGUUAUAAUGUAUUACCAACACAGAAUAAGUACAACUCUAUAGCCAACGGGAUCCCGAGGACUUGAUUACAGUCGCUUCAAGCCUGAUAGUUUGUCCGUGCGGCUGCUCCCCCUCUCCCUUCCACUCGAGCCUGUUUUAGUCAACUGGCAUUUCUUCUAACGACGUACCUUCCUUGGAUAAAGAAGACUCGAGUUCCGCUGUGAUCUCAGUUUGCUUUGCCUGUAUCCUACUUUCGACUCUGCUUCCCUGGAUUUGCAAUAUACUCUAUUCGGCAUACCAUUUAAAAAAAGAUUCACCAAGAUGAUUCCCAACGGUUAUUUGAUCUUUGAGGAUGAGAGUUUCCUGGAUUCCACCGUGGCCAAAAUGAACGCUCUGAGAAAGAGUGGUCAGUUCUGCGAUGUUAGACUGCAGGUGUGUGGUCAUGAGCUGAUGGCUCACCGUGCUGUCCUGGCUUGCUGCAGUCCCUAUCUGUUUGAGAUCUUUAAUAGUGACAUUGAGCCUCACGGAGUGUCUCAUGUCACUUUUGAGGACUUGGACCCAGAGGCUGUGGAGAUCUUGCUCAAUUAUGCCUAUACUGCCCAGCUAAAGGCAGAUAAAGAACUAGUUAAGGAAGUUUACUCUGCAGCCAAAAGGUUCAAGAUGGAGCGAGUCAAACAGAUUUGUGGUGACUACCUGCUUUCUAAAAUGGAUUCCCAGAGCGCCAUCUCUUUCCGUAACUUUGCCAGCUCUAUGGGAGAUGCCAGAGUUUUGGCCAAGGUGGACGCCUUCAUCCAGGACCAUCUACUGGAAGUGUCUGAACAGGAAGACUUUCUCAAACUCCCCCGCCUCAAGUUAGAAGUAAUGCUAGAAGACAACCUGACCCUGCCCAGCAAUGGCAAGCUCUACUCCAAGGUGCUCAGCUGGGUGCAGCGCAGCCUCUGGGAGAACGGGGACCACCUGGACCGCCUGAUGGAGGAGGUGCAAACGCUGUACUACUCACCUGACCAUAAGCUGGUGGAUGGAGGGCUGGUGAUUGAUGGGCACAGUGAGGUGUUUGGUGGCGAGGAGGACCACCUUCAGUUUGUGCAGAAGAAACCCGUACGGGAGAGCACCCAGAGACAGAUGAGCUGCAGCUCCUCGGGAAGCCUGUCGCCCUCCAACCAAGCAGCUAAUGCGCCCAAACAGACCGGCCGGAGAGAGUGGAAGUACAUCGCCUCUGAGAAGACCACAAACCACACCUACCUGUGUCUGGCUGUGCUGGAUGGUGUGUUGUGUGUGAUCUUCUUGCACGGUCGCAGCAGCCCUCAGACCUCCCCCUCUGCCACCCCCUGCCUGAUGAAGAGCCUCAGCUUCGAGGCCCAGCCCGAGGAGCUGGAGGAGCAGCCGCUCUCUCCCAUGCAUUACGCUCGCUCCGGUCUGGGCGCCGUGGCCCUGAACGGAAGACUCAUCGCAGCAGGAGGAUACAACAGAGAGGAGUGUCUGAGGACUGUGGAGUGUUACGACCCCAAAGAGGACCGCUGGACCUUCAUUGCUCCCAUGCGGACUCCGAGGGCUCGAUUCCAGAUGGCUGUGCUCAUGGGUCAGCUGUAUGUGAUUGGAGGAUCAAAUGGACAUUCUGAUGAGCUGAGCUGCGGGGAGAUGUACGAUCCACAGGCUGACGAGUGGGCUCAAGUGCCAGAGCUGAGGACAAACCGCUGCAAUGCUGGUGUCUGCUCAUUGAACAACAAACUCUACGUUGUGGGUGGGUCGGACCCCUGCGGGCAGAAGGGCCUGAAGAACUGUGAUGCUUUUGACCCUGUGAUCAAAACCUGGUCUAACUGUGCCUCCCUCAACAUCAGGAGGCACCAGGCUGCCGUGUGCGAGUUGGACGGCUUCAUGUACGUGAUCGGAGGGGCGGAGUCGUGGAACUGCCUGAACACUGUGGAGCGCUACAACCCCGAGAACAACACCUGGACCCUGAUCGCCCCCAUGAACGUGGCUCGCAGGGGGGCCGCUGUCGCUGUCCAUGCAGGCAAACUGUUUGUUAUUGGCGGCUUCGAUGGCUCCCACGCGCUCCGCUGUGUGGAGGUGUACGACCCCGCCCGCAACGAGUGGAGGAUGCUGGGUAGCAUGACGUCGUCCCGCAGCAACGCGGGCGUGGCCAUGCUGGGAGAAACCAUCUACGCUGUGGGCGGCUUCGACGGGAACGAGUUCCUCAACACGGUGGAGGUGUACAACCCCGAGACGGACGAGUGGAACGAUUGCACCACGACCCUGUCUCCCCUCUCUGACUGAAGGGGGUUGGAGUUUCAGUGCUUCAACUUUUCCAAACUAACAGGCUUAGUGACGUAAUCGUGUUUCGUGAUGUUUUGUCUUCAGUGAAGACUGGCUUGUAUUUGGCGGGUGGGAUAAAAGGGAGGGGGGCGGGGGGGUUGCCCAAAGCAACAUGACGCCUUUGCAUAUUGCAUACAAUGUUUUUCGUGCUGUAUAUAUUUUGUUUCUUCCUCAUUUUUUGUCAUAUGCCAACAUUUAAUACACAUUUAGUGCUUUUCUUUUUAACUUAAGAGUUGAAAGGUUUUUCACUGGAGGGUUUUCAGAUGAGCUAGCAGUUAUCGGUCACUUGGAACGUGGCAGUAUGGUGACCAUUGACUUUGAAGGUUUUAUUUGUAGAAAUGUUACUUUGCUCACAUUUAAUGGUCAGUGGUUUGAACUUGAAGCCUUACUCGGAGAGUGCGAGUUAGAAAAAAAAAACACCUCAUGGCUAUUUCUGUCAUUUUAAACGAGCUGGAUUGCUUUUUUGAAUCUUAAAUGGCCUUUUUUAUAUUUUUUUAUACACUGCUGAUUUACUGAUAAAAGUAGUAGCAGAUGGCUUGAAGUUAAUGAAUCGUGCCAGUUUUAGUAAUACCUUUGUGCACACACACCACACGCACAACCAUGCUUCUGCUAACCAAACUUUUGUUAUUGUGAUUGAACUAAUCAAUGUAUGUAGAGAUGCAGUUUACUGAAGUUUCUUAUUUCUCUUUUGUGUUUUAAAGUGUCAGGCAUUGGCAGAUUCUUCUGAAGGGAAUGUUAAAAACGAGAAUUAACACAUUUGUAACAUUUCUUAAUUAAUAAAUCAUUUAAAUCUGA